rnacentral:rRNA from 1 species
GUCCACGCCGUAAACGAUGGAUACUAGCUGUUGGGCGCAAGUUCAGUGGCUAAGCGAAAGUGAUAAGUAUCCCACCUGGGGAGUACGUUCGCAAGAAUGAAACUCAAAGGAAUUGACGGGGCCAGCACAAGCGGUGGAGCAUGUGGUUUAAUUCGAUGAUACGCGAGGAACCUUACCAAGGCUUAAAUGUAGAUUGACCGAUUUGGAAACAGAUCUUUCGCAAGACAAUUUACAAGGUGCUGCAUGGUUGUCGU